rnacentral:rRNA from 1 species
CUUGACGUCCAUAGAGAAUUGGAACCACCUGAUCCCAUCCCGAACUCAGAAGUGAAACGAUUCAUCGCCGAUGGUAGUGUAGGG